AACGCACGAGACCUGCGGACCUGCGGAGGGAUCAUCAUCGAAUUCAUAUCCCCCUCCUCAACCGGAGGGGGACCCAUGAUAAACCCUUCUGUGCACCGUAAACCGUUCACUUUGGCAGGCUUUGGUGGUGAGCGUGAGCUCGCCUCCAACCUCGCGUUCCCUCCCUAAGGGGUGCUACGCGUGGCGGCCUGCCGGAGUCCCAUUAAAAAACUCGUUUUCGAACACGUCUGAAAAUUUCCU
rnacentral:misc_RNA from 1 species